GAUGAAGAACGUAGCGAAAUGCGAUAAGUAAUGUGAAUUGCAGAAUUCAGUGAAUCAUCGAAUCUUUGAACGCACAUUGCGCCCUCUGGUAUUCCGGGGGGCAUGCCUGUUCGAGCGUCAUUAUAACCACUCAAGCUCUCGCUUGGUAUUGGGGUUCGCGGUUUCGCGGCACCUAAAAUCAGUGGCGGUGCCUGUCGGCUCUACGCGUAGUAAUACUUCUCGCGAUUGAGUUCGAUAGGUCUACUUGCCAGUAACCCCCAAUUUUUACAGGUUGACCUCGGAUCAGGUAGGGAUACCCGCUGAACUUAAGCAUAUCAAUAAGCGGAGGA
rnacentral:misc_RNA from 1 species